GAAUUCUCUUUUCUAAAUGAAGACCUCAGUUGGCCCUUUGAGAUAAGUGGGUUUGGGAUUGCACUUGGACAAGUAUCUCUAAAAGGUUGGGCGUUGCUUCCCAUGACAAUCUCCAGCACUGGAUUUUUCAGGAAUCCUUUGUAAUGCUGCUCUGCAGCACACUUUGUUGAGUAUUUCAGGACUCUAGGUGCUGGUCUGAUUGUCCCAUGUCAAAAAACUGGAGUGGCCUCUAAAGCCAUGUGUGCUGUUAGCUGGUAUGUAAGUUGUUGAAUGGUGAAGUCUCGAUUUCUGCAUCGGUUAAAAGAGAAAUAAUUUAACCUGAAUUUUCAGAGCUUUUGUGAAGAUUGAAAGAGAUUUAUAUGUGCGACUUCCAGCGUAAGCUAUGGCAUCUGACAACUGGUGGUCAUAUCUAUUCAGCUGGUGUGGGUUCCUAAAGAUGCUCUAUGGAAUGGGAGAAAGGAAACGGCUGGAAGUAUGGAAUGUAAAAGUAAUACAAAUUGAGAACCAAUGAGAAGAAUGUGGUUGUCCUGUCAGUAAGACAUCUCCUCUCUCUGGGAAUCUACAAAAAUGUACUAAACUGUAAUACAGCAAAUAAAAUAUAUUAAUGGAAAUGAACUCUGGCAAACAACAAGUUUUUAAGUUAUAAAAAAUGUCUUUGCAAUCCUCUUUC
rnacentral:lncRNA from 1 species